UUGGACGUAGUCUUGGGGCGUUCUUUCAUUUUCCACUCAGAAAGAAGAUACGAUUCACAGCUUUAAUCAAUCACAGGUUUAUUCUCUGCUACAAUAAAACCCAGAUGGAGAGAAUGAUUGGUAUCAUAUCCAUGUCUAGGAGUGUAACCCCAUCACACAGCAUAGCAGCAUAGCGCUACAACUAAUGAACUGGAGAUCAUGUGAGACGCAAAGAG